rnacentral:rRNA from 1 species
UACGGGGGGGGCAAGCGUUGUUCGGAAUUACUGGGCGUAAAGGGCUCGUAGGCGGCCAACUAAGUCGGACGUGAAAUCCCCAGGCUCAACCUGGGAACUGCGUCCGAUACUGGAUGGCUUGAAUCCGGGAGAGGGAUGCAGAAUUCCAGGUGUAGCGGUGAAAUGCGUAGAGAUCGGGCGGAACACCAGCGGCGAAGGCGGCAUCCUGGUCCUGUUCUGACGCUGAGGCGCGAGAGCGUGGGGAGCGAACUGG